rnacentral:lncRNA from 1 species
AAUAGUCAAAUGAAAUGCAUAAGAAUUUAAUAUUGAAAAAUCGAGGGAUACGAAUAUUAACCAAGAUUCCAAAAACACAAUCAAAAACUGAAAAUAAAGUAUAGGAAAUAAAAAUGAACACAAGGAUUUUUCGGCUAAAGCCCCAAAGGUUCGGCGACCACUUUUAACGCCUAAUCCCUUGUUGAGCAUCCAUUAAAAAUGGAUAAAUCUCGGUUGCACUAUAAAGCCCCAAAAAUAGGCAGCAAAUUACGAUAAUGUUCUAGCAAUUUACAACAAAGAACCAAGUACAGGACUUAUCUUUGCUAGAACAACAAUAGCAAACACUACUAACCAUAGGAAUCAAUCUUGAUCACAAAGAUCAACCAACACAGAUUUUUGCCCUCCGAGCUGCCCACUCUCAAAUCACUUAGA